AGCACUUGUGUCUGUUUUUGUCUAACUUGUGGACUAAGACUUAUGCAGGUCCAAAAAGUAAAGCCUCUUUUGCAACCCAGAACUUACUAUCCAGUAUGAGUUUUGAUACCAGGAGGAAUACU
rnacentral:snoRNA from 1 species